UACGUAGGGACCGAGCGUUGUCCGGAUUCAUUGGGCGUAAAGAGCUCGUAGGCGGCCACUCAAGUCGAAUGUGAAACCUCGAGGCUUAACCUCGAGCCUGCAUUCGAUACUGGGCGGCUAGAGUCUGGUAGGGGGAGUCUGGAAUUCCUGGUGUAGCGGUGGAAUGCGCAGAUAUCAGGAGGAACACCGGUGGCGAAGGCGGGAUCCUGGGCCAGUACUGACGCUGAGGAGCGAAAGCGUGGGGAGCAAACAGG
rnacentral:rRNA from 1 species